rnacentral:rRNA from 1 species
AUUCCUACGGGAGGCAGCAGUGGGGAAUUUUGGACAAUGGGCGCAAGCCUGAUCCAGCCAUGCCGCGUGAGUGAAGAAGGCCUUCGGGUUGUAAAGCUCUUUCGGCCGGGAAAAAAUCGCCUGGGUUAAUACCCUGGGUGGAUGAUGGUACCGGAAUAAGAAGCACCGGCUAACUACGUGCCAGCAGCCGCGGUAAUACGUAGGGUGCGAGCGUUAAUCGGAAUUACUGGGCGUAAAGCGUGCGCAGGCGGUUUUGUAAGACAGGCGUGAAAUCCCCGGGCUCAACCUGGGAACUGCGCUUGUGACUGCAAGGCUAGAGUACGGCAGAGGGGGGUGGAAUUCCACGUGUAGCAGUGAAAUGCGUAGAGAUGUGGAGGAACACCGAUGGCGAAGGCAGCCCCCUGGGCCGAUACUGACGCUCAUGCACGAAAGCGUGGGGAGCAAACAGGAUUAGAUACCCUGGUAGUCCACGCCCUAAACGAUGUCAACUAGGUGUUGGGUGGGUAAAACCAUUUAGUACCGUAGCUAACGCGUGAAGUUGACCGCCUGGGGAGUACGGCCGCAAGGUUAAAACUCAAAGGAAUUGACGGAAU